rnacentral:rRNA from 1 species
GAUGAACGCUGGCGGCGUGCUUAACACAUGCAAGUCGAACGGUGAAGCAGAGCUUGCUCUGUGGAUCAGUGGCGAACGGGUGAGUAACACGUGAGCAAUCUGCCCCUGACUCUGGGAUAAGCGCUGGAAACGGCGUCUAAUACCGGAUACGAGCUGCGACCGCAUGGUCAGUAGCUGGAAAGAAUUUCGGUCAGGGAUGAGCUCGCGGCCUAUCAGCUUGUUGGUGAGGUAAUGGCUCACCAAGGCGUCGACGGGUAGCCGGCCUGAGAGGGUGACCGGCCACACUGGGACUGAGACACGGCCCAGACUCCUACGGGAGGCAGCAGUGGGGAAUAUUGCACAAUGGACGAAAGCCUGAUGCAGCAACGCCGCGUGAGGGAUGACGGCCUUCGGGUUGUAAACCUCUUUUAGCAGGGAAGAAGCGAAAGUGACGGUACCUGCAGAAAAAGCGCCGGCUAACUACGUGCCAGCCGCCGCGGUAA